rnacentral:rRNA from 1 species
UUCUUCCUUGAGAAAAGGGGUUUACAACCCAAGAGCCUUCCUCCCCCACGCGGUCUUGCUCCGUCAGGCUUUCGCCCAUUGCGGAAAAUUCCCCACUGCUGCCUCCCGUAGGAGUCUGGGCCGUGUCUCAGUCCCAGUGUGGCUGAUCGUCCUCUCAGACCAGCUACUGAUCGUCGCCUUGGUGGGCUUUUACCCCGCCAACUAGCUAAUCAGACGCGAGCUCAUCUCCAGGCGAUAAAUCGUUUUACCUUUCGGCUCAUCCGGGAUUAGCAGAGGUUUCCCUCUGUUGUCCCCGUCCUGGAGGCAGAUUCUCACGCGUUACUCACCCGUCCGCCACUAGCUCCGAAGAGCCCGUUCGACUUGCAUGUGUUAAGCAGACCGCCAGCGUUCAUCCUGAGCCAGGAUCAAA